rnacentral:rRNA from 1 species
UACGUAGUGCGCAAGCGUUGUCCGGAAUUAUUGGGCGUAAAGAGCUCGUAGGCGGCUUGUCACGUCGGGUGUGAAAGCCCGGGGCUUAACCCCGGGUCUGCAUUCGAUACGGGCUAGCUAGAGUGUGGUAGGGGAGAUCGGAAUUCCUGGUGUAGCGGUGAAAUGCGCAGAUAUCAGGAGGAACACCGGUGGCGAAGGCGGAUCUCUGGGCCAUUACUGACGCUGAGGAGCGAAAGCGUGGGGAGCGAACAGG